rnacentral:lncRNA from 1 species
GACCAUGAUAGUCUUGAUCUGUUGACCUCGUGAUCCACCCGCCUCGGCCUCCCAAAGUUCUGGGAUUACAGGUGUGAGCGACGCGCCCGGCCCCAAUGUGUAGUCUUUAUUUCUCACCACCCACCACACCCUUUUCCCAGAGUCCCCAAAGUCCAUUGUAUAAUUCUUAUGCUUUUGCAUACUCAUAGCUUAGCUCCUACAUAUGAGUGAGAAAAUACAAUGUUUGGUUUUCCAUUCCUGAGUUACUUCACUUAGAGUGAUAGUCUCCAAUCCAGGUUUCUGCAAAUCCCAUUAUUUCAUUAUUUUCUAUGGUUAAAUAGUAUUCCAUGGUGUGUGUGUGUGUGUGUGUGUGUGUGUGUGUGUGUGUGUAUCUAUUUAACAUGUAUAUAACUAUAAAUAUAUAGUAGUAUUUCAUGGUAUAAUAUGUAUAUCCAUAAAAUGAGAGGAUAUUCUGUAUCUCCUCAUUUAUUGAUGGGCAUUUGGGUUGGUUCCAUAUUUUUGCAAUUGCAAAUGGUGCUGCUAUAAACACGAGUGUGCAAGUAUCUUUUUUGUAAAAUGACUUCUUUUCCUCUGGGUAGAUAGACACCUAGAAGUAGGAUUAUUUUUUGUGCCGAUGGGAUCGUAGUAUGAUGCCUCGUCUGGUCUCACACUCCUGGCCUCAACUGAUCCUCCUGCCUCGCCUCAACAGAUCCUCCUGCCUUGACCUCCCAAAGCCCUCGGAUUACAGGCAUGAACCACCACAACUGGAUCGCCUUUACUCUCAAUCAAAUUGUUUAUGACAUGCAAUCAGAUAACUUUCAAGGUGAAGAAUUCAGUUCUUAAAUACACAGUGCUUGUUAACCUAUCUAGAAAAGGAAACGAAAGCUUCACAUGUGAGAUAAAUGCACUCAAAGAUUCCUCACAAGUAGCUCUUUGGAGCUUCAGAUGUGAAAUGGAUCAUUCCUCAAUCUGUAAUAGACCCUUCUGUGAAGCUCUUCAAUCAAACUAG